GGCUUGUUCACAUUUGGAACACUGCCAGAUGUCAUCAUUCCCGAUCACAGCUCUCGGAAUGUUGACGCAUGUGGGAUGAUACCACUCUUUGCACAGUGAACACUGCACCAUCAUCUCUUUGUAAUGAGCUGUUCUGCAAACACAGUAUACUGGUACUGUAGUUGUUGUGAUGUUUGACUGAGCUUCUCUGUCUUCAACAUUCAUUCGAAAUGUGAUGUUGUUCCUUGUGAAUGACUUGUACAGCUGUGCCCUCAUCCUGCCUUCAUUGAAUAUGCACUGUUCUGGUUGAUGACCCUUGCAUAAUGCAUAUGCAAAGGCUAUUGCAAACACCCCACAGUUACUCAAAUUUGCUUGCUGCUGCACUGCUGGUUGCAAAACUUCCAAAGUGUCAGACUGUGGCCUUAGCAGCCAGGACAGUGCCUGCAGUGUUCUUGGGUCCAGAGGGCUACGUAGGCUGUCAUAAACGGCGAGUUGAGUGUCAUUGCAAAACAAAUUGCUGACUGUUAUCCAGUGGCUCUGUCUGAUGUUCAACAUCUGAACAAAUUUCUUUUCAGGAGUCCCCACAAUCCCUCCUUGUGCAAUUGCGCUAAACGGUAAAACCGAUUGAAAUCCGUCAAUGUGGUCAUGAUCCUUGGCCAUGAGGUAGCUGGCUUGAUCCAUGGCAUCACUGGUCAACCAGUAGUCAUGGUGAAGGAUUUCUUGCAGAGUAUUUAUCUUAGCUGGUCGGGAGAGCCUUCUUGUAACAGUUUUUCCCGUAGCACUGUAGUUUUUCCAAAUAGGCCCUUCAACAUUGGAUUUUCUCCUUCUUAUAUGCUGCACUGCUGCUUUCUGUGAAUACAGACACCACAAUGUAUUACUUAUACAGCAGGUUAUUUCUACAUAACCACAAAAUGUUACUGUUCUUUAAUUUUGUGUGAUAUUUUAGUGUAUUAAGUGUCGUUUUCAUGGAAUAUGAGAGAGAGAGAGAGAGAGAGAGAGAGAGAGAGAGAGAGAGAGAGAGAGAGACCUGAGGGUGUACGAUGGCUGUGGUUGCCUUUUCCGCUGCAGUGUCUGCAGCUUCCAAAUCAUCCUAGAUGAAAAUAAUUGUUGUUAGUCCUCAUUCUACAAAUGUCCCUUGACAUGACUGCUGAUAGAAGCAGCAGGAUGAAUUCUGAAGCAUAUAGUUGGAUGCUAUCUGCUCAGAUUCAGCCAAAUGCUGUGGAACUGAUAGGAUGGUGCUCCAAAGUACAGUGUCUUGAUAGGAUACACUGCUGAUAUAAUCACAGGAGAUAGAUUGCAGUUCUCCACCCGGCCAACUGCUCUUACUGCUGAGCUUUCUUGCCAUCACCAUCAAUAGAUCAAUAAUAUAAUAAUAAUACAUUUAAUUUAUAGAUCAGAUCAGGUGUCCACUUAUGUAUUGUUCAAAUCUGUAGCAGUCAUUAUUCCCAGUAUAUACAGUAUACCUCACAAGAUUGUAUAACCAGUUCAAAACUUUCGUUUUUGUUUUAUGUAGUAUGUUAUUAUUUAAUUUAAUUGGAUUUAUUGCCUGCCAACCAACUUAACAAGUAUAUUCUCUUAUCUCAGAUUCAUGUCUGUUAAUAGCCAUGUUUAACAGUUAAUUUGGUAAUCAACCCCUGGCCCAAUAAUUUACUUUUAUGAAUAUAGCUUAAAACUACUAAUUGUAUUCAUACAGUAUAUUGUAAUAUUAAUGUUCCAUUUAUAUACUGAUAAGAUAUAUAGAAUGUUAAUCAUGAAUGAUAUUAAAAAAAUUAACCU
ensembl:lncRNA